GGAACAACACUGGCAUUUAGUACAACUUACCAUUCUCAAUCAGAUAGUCAAAAUGAAAGACUUAACCAGUGUUUAGAAGGAUAUUCAAGAUAAAUGGCCCAUUUGAAACCCUCUACUUUGUGUACUUGGCUUCCUCUUGCAGAGUGGUGGUGCGAUUCCGCUAUUCAUAGUGCUAUUAAGAUGGCACCUUUUGAGGCAUUA
rnacentral:misc_RNA from 1 species